rnacentral:rRNA from 1 species
UACGUAGGGGGCUAGCGUUGUCCGGAUUUAUUGGGCGUAAAGAGCGUGUAGGCGGUCAGGUAGGUCUGCUGUGAAAACUCGAGGCUCAACCUCGAGACGUCGGCGGAAACCAUCUGGCUAGAGUCCGGAAGAGGAGAGUGGAAUUCCUGGUGUAGCGGUGAAAUGCGCAGAUAUCAGGAAGAACACCCGUGGCUAAGGCGGCUCUCUAGUACGGUACUGACGCUGAGACGCGAAAGCGUGGGGAGCGAACAGG